CAUUAAAACCAUUAACCCAUAAACCCAUAUACAUAAACCUAUAUACAUUUACCCAUGAACCCAUACACAUUUAACCCAUAUCCAAGCCCAUAACCUUAACCAAGUCCAUGAACUUUGAACCAAAACCAUGGACCAAACCAUACACCAAAUCCUGUGGACCAUACCAUACACCAAAUCCACGAACUAUGAAUCAAGUUCAUGAAUCAAAUCAAGUUCAUGAGCCAUGGAUCAUAAACCACAAACCAUACACCAAGUUCAUGAACCAUAAACCCAUGAACCAUAAGUCCAUGAACCAUAAACCCAUGAACCAUAAGUCCAUGAACCAUAAACCCAUGAACCAUAAGUCCAUGAACCAUAAACCCAUGAACCAUAUCUAAGUUCAUGAACCAUAAUCCCAUAUACCCAAUACCAUAAACCUUGUGAACCAAACCCAAACCAUCGACCGAAACGUCGUUAAACUAAUCCACCAAAUCAAUCGACCGAAACGUCGUUAAACUAAACCUAAAUCCGAUAUCGACCGAAAUGUCGUUAAACUAAACUCAAGUUCAAUUUUCACGAACAUCCCAAUUCCCAAAAUAUUCGAUUCUCUAGCAUAUAAAACUAGAGUCAAAUCACAAUCAUGUUCAAACUUGAUCAAAUUCUAAACCUAUAUUUAGAAUUGAUCAAACCAUCUGAUCAAAUUAAUUUGUUGGAUUCCAAUACAUACACUUG
rnacentral:lncRNA from 1 species